rnacentral:rRNA from 1 species
GAUCCUGGCUCAGGAUGAACGCUGGCGGCGUGCCUAACACAUGCAAGUCGAACGAAGCACUGAGACUUCGGUUUUUGUGCUUAGUGGCGGACGGGUGAGUAACGCGUGAGCAAUCUGCCUUUCAGAGGGGGAUAACGAUUGGAAACGAUCGCUAAUACCGCAUAACGUAUUCGGAUGGCAUCAUCUGAAUACCAAAGGAGCAAUCCGCUGAAAGAUGAG